rnacentral:lncRNA from 1 species
UACACCUUGAUGCUUACCCUAGUUCUGGAAACACUCGACCUGUAGGCGCGCUGGUAAACGGGCCCGGUUUAAGCAAGUCACCUCAAUCUGCCGAAAAAAUCGGAGCGUAUGGCUCCUUCGCUGACACAAGUUUACCGUCCGGCUUUUCAAUUAGCAGCACAGGAGCACCUAUAGGAGUGGGUUCCGAUGUAUUUCGCUCUUCUGAACACUUAGGACGUUUGGCCGGAUCUCCAAUUGUUGAAGCUGGCGGUAACCCUGGGCAACCUUUAGGCUCACGCGAUUCACGUGAACAUGCAGGAGGUUCCCCUGCUGGUAGCGCAAAAGCACAGUUUGAAAAUAGCGGUCAGUACGGACCUCACGUCCUCGAAGCACAACCAUCUCGUUUUACCAUUGGCACCUCAGAAUCCCCUGUAGCUUCACUUGCUUCAGUACACCUUGAUGCUUCCCCUAGUUCUGGAAACACUCGACCUGUAGGCGCGCUGGCAAACGGGCCCGGUUUAAGCGAAGCCACCUCCAUCUGCUGAAAAGACCGGAGCGUACGGCUCUUUCGCCGGUACAAGUCUACCAUCUGGCUUUUCAAUUAGCAGCACGGGUGCACCUAUAGGAGCUGGUUCAGAUGUAUUCCGCUCUUCUGAACGCUUGGGAGGUUUUGCUGGAUCUGGAAUUGUUCGAGCUGACGGUACUCUUAGGCAACCUUUACGCUCACGCGAUUCACGUGAAAUUGUGGGAGGUUCCCCUGCUAGUACCACAAGCAAACAGCUUGAAAAUAGCCUUCAGUUUAGACCUCACGUGCUUGAAAGACAACCGUCUAGCUCUACUGUGGGCACCGCGGACUCACCUGCAGCCUUUGAAGCCUCGCUUCCUCCUGUGCACAUUGAAACUUCUCCUAGUUCCGGAAACGCUGGGGCUUUAGGCACGCUGACAGACGUGCCCGGCUUAAGCGAGCCACCUCAAUCAGCUGCAGGGACCGGAGCUUACGGCUCCUUCUCGCCUACAAAUCUACCACCAGGCUUUUCAAUUGGCACCACAGGAGCACCUAUAAAAGGACGUUUCGAUAUAUUCCGCUCUACCGAACUCACAAGAGGUUCUGGUGUAUCAGGAAUUACUGCAACUGGUGGGGCUCUGGGGCAACGUUUCCGCUCAGGUGAAGCACGUGAGCAUUCAGAAGGUUUCCCUGCUAGUAAUGUGAGAAGACAGCCUCAAAAUACCGGCCAGUACGAAUCUCAGGUACCUGGAAGACCACCAUAUUAUUUUACCGUUGGCACCUCACAACCACCUGCCUGCCUCUAAGGUCUCUCAUUCUUCUGUAGGUCUCGAAGGUUCCCCUAACUCAGAAAACGAUGCGAGUGUAGGACCGCUUGCAAAGCUGGACGGCUUACGCGAGGAAUCUCAAUCCACCAAAACUUUCCUUGGCAGCUCGAUAAGGCAUUCAGCUACGAAAGGCGGGUACAACAUUUUGUCUGGUAUGUAGGACUUGGCAACCUCGGCACCACGGGAUCACCCAAUUAUACGCGAGACAGAAUCGUCAACCCUCCCGGACACAUGGGAGAGUUUGCCGGCCCCGGAUUCACCGAAGCCGCAGGCACUCUGAAAUUGCAGCCCGCCUUGGCCGGAACAGCCCAAUCUGAAGCAGGCUUCCCUACUACUAGCAGGAGCAAGCAGCUUCAACCAGUACAGUCUGGAAAUAGUGCUACUUAUGGCUCACGUUAUCCCGAAAUUCCAAGCUCUCAGAUUACCAUUGGCCCACCAAUGUCACCUAAUAUAGUGGACUCCAAAGAUUCAGAUCUCUCUAAACAUAGAGCCGGUUCUGGUGGUUCACUAAUCAAUAGAAUUCGAGGCGCCAUCGAACGGCCUACUAAUCUUGGCGAUGAAACUAGAUCUGAAGGAGGUUUCAGUGUUGACAGCAGGAAAAUACAGCCUGAACUUAAUGCUGCUUACAGGUAUGUUCCAAUAGCUUCUACACGUAGUUCUGAGAUAGAGAAAGCAGAAUUACCCAGUGGAACAACAACCCGCUUCUACAGACCUAGAACACGCCUAGGAGAAUUUACGAGUUCUGAAAUUGACAGCCGACCCCUUCGUUGGCUCAGUGUCCAAAGAGGAGUACCAGCAUUCGAAGGUGUUACUGCUGGUAGCUGGAAAAAACUGUCAGGAGAAAGCAGUGGCCACGAAGCCAUCGCCCCCAUAAGUCCAACCAAUGGCUUUAGCAAUGGUUACGCAGGCUCCAUCACUGAAAAUGGUGGCAUAAUCUCCAAACCAGCCAUGCGCUGUAGUUGAUACCAGUGGUUCUCAAAUUAUCGGAGCCAGGAGAAUCUUUGGGCAGCAGGUCGGGUUUGGAGCGGCACAUAAACCCGAAGGAGGUGUACCUACCAGUGGAGGGAGAGGGACCUCUGGAAAUACUGGUGGGGAUAGCUUCCUUUUUCCUGAAAUGGGUUCAUCGGCCUUUACCACUGGUAUUAGAGGAUCCGUUAAUGAAGCAGGCUCCAGGAUUGCGGAUGCCACCAGACACUUUAUAGAUUCCGCCAAUUCUGGAAUAAACACAGUUGGAGGCAACCUGAGACGGCCAGUCCGUGUCAGUCAAUGGACCUGAGUUCGAAGGAGGAUCCCUCGGUGUUCCUAGGGGACAACCUGGAAGUACUAGUGGAUACGCUUUCAUACCUCACGAUAGACCAUAUGACACUAAUAUGGACAGCGCAAGAUCUUCCAACGAAGUGGGCUCCAGAAUAUCUGAUGCUUCGGAUACAUUAGGUGCUAACACUGGUUCUGGAAUAACUCAAGCUGGAGGCACAUUCGGCUGGAAAGAUGGCUUGGGCCAACUUCCUGCAUCCGCAAGAGGCUUCACUGGACGUAGCACGAGAGGGACACUUCAAAGUACCGGUGGAUACAGUUCAUCUGAUUUUAGAAAUGAACCGCUGCCCUUUACUGAUGCCACCAAAGGAUCACCCAAUCUAGAGGGUUCCAGAAAUGCCAUUCACGACGGACGCUCACGAGGUUUGAGCUCAGGCUUCCCUGGCUUGUAUGAUUUCUACAGGAGACCUAGGGUGCAUUCCUACCGUGGGGAAAAUCGAGGUAGCCACUUCGCCAACGUCGACAGUUUCGUUGGCGGUCGUGACGACGGUGUCAUAAAUAACAGCGACCCUGGUUUCCUUGUCUCCAGCAAACUUGGCCGUAGACCACAGACAGGCUACCGCAUCAAUUAUGAAUUCCCUCGUUACGACGGCUCCCUUGAAGGUCACAAUGAAGACACGAGCCGCAGCAGCGCUACUGGUUACUUUGGCAACAAUGGUAACAGCGGCCGCCAACGUUACAUGCCGGUUUUCUCACCUGGCUCAACUAGUGACCAUGACUCGUACGUAUCCAGCCGAGAAGCCACCGCCCGGAAUAGAAGCCCAUUUCCUGUUUCCACUAGUAAGCUGUGAUUGAGCGUAAGCACACCUGGACAUCAUAAGCAGGUCAAAGUAAGAAGGCAUGGCAUCAUGGUGGCGUCAGCCAAUUUUCUUCGGUCCAGGCCACUGGAACAACAGCUACGUAAACUACAUGAGUGGCAGUAUUACCUUGCUUUUGCAAGUGCUGAGCUCCCAAAAUAUAACUGCGUUUGGUUAAAAGCCGUAAAAAACGUUCCUGUUUAAAACAUUCUAUCCUAUUUUCCC